CUCCUAGUAUAGUCCCCUCACCUUGAUUCUAAAAGGCUUGUGACUGCCUUUUACCAGUAAGAUAUGGCGGAAGUACACUGUGCCAAUUCCAGACCAACGCCUUGAGAAGCCAGGCAGGUUUCGCAGUCUGAGGAACGAAACCUGUUCUUCCUGUGCUGCCGUGUAGAGUUUCAGCUACCCUGCUGUAAAAAGCCCCUUGGAGAGGCCACAUGGUAAAGGGAGAAGCCCUGAGGUUACUUGGACAGGGAGAGCAAAACCCAGAUGUCCCUGCAUCCCAGCUGAGACCAUCCUCCAGGAAAAACACUGGCCCAAUACAGCCGCACAAAAAAUCAUCAGCAAGACCAGCGGAAGAACCGCCCAGACAAUCCUAGCCAAGAAUGUGGAACGGAUGGCUAUUCAUCCCAAUUUGCCUGGGAAUGAAGGCGUUUCCAGGACACAGGACUUACAGUGCUAAAACCAGGAAAGUCCUGGGGAAACUGCGAGUUGGUCACCUUCUUUCCAACAUCUCAACUAAACAGGAGUUUACUUCAGAGCAAAAUGCAAUCUUAUUCACACAGUUUGGGAGCUUACGGAAGGGGAAGCUAGAGAAGAGAUCUGGUCAUCUGUUAAUUCCUUAUUCUUCAUUUCUACUUCUUUGAUCUAUGGAAAGCACCAACACGUUAGGCAAGGUAUUGUGUGAUCAAAAGAUUUGAAAGGUGUGCUUGGUCCAGAGGUGAGUAGAACAUGGGGGAUGCCUGGUUUAACGUUAGUGUCAAGACAAAAGGGGCCUCCUGCAGGGAACUCUUUCCUGCAAAGAGCUCUUUCCUCCCAAAAGCUGCUUACAAAAUGUUAAAUUAUAUUUAAUGAUUAUUCAGGUAAAGUUCAGAAAAAGCAUCACAACUCCAACCCCAGGUAUUCAUCUGAACAGGGCAGAAUUCCUGAAUUAAUUGUAAUUUCCAAUUCACCUUCCUUCCUUCUAAAUUGCACUUCAAAUUGCUUGAUAAAACAGAAGUAUAAUUAUGACAGGUUUUCAUAAUUUGGAAUAGGCCCAGAAUUACUACUGUAUUAUCACAAAACUCAUUUUCCAGAUGUUUUAAUGGUACAGAAGCUUAUCCUUGCCUAUAUUUAUAUCUUGUAAGUCCAAUUUAGACCCUUAGGAAGGUAGAUUUCUAGAUCCAUUGUUUAAUGUGUCUAGCUCUUUGCUGACACUCACAAGAGUUAAAAUUUAUGCUGUAUAUUCUAAUUAGCUACAUCUUCUUUAUGUCAUUGUACAGAUAAUUAAGGAGCCAUUCCAUUUAUACAUUUGGUUGAACCUAACUGGACUUUUGGUCCCAACCAAAUUAUGACUAGUACUUACACUUACCUCUUUGUUUAAAGACUCAGACAAAAUUUUAUUUUGUCUCACAAAUGUUAAAAUAGCAGUGAUAGGAGGAUGUGCUGUAAAAUAUAUUUUUUGGACUGAUUAUCUUAUGCAUUUCAGGUGAAAACUUUCUUCAAAUUAUGCCAACUAUUUACAUUUCAGUCCCACAUAUAUUUUUAUUCAAUUUCGCCUGCAUAACUACCCUUUUCUUUUCCCAAUUUAACCAAGUCUAAAAAUACAAACUUCUAACUCUAUUAAUAAUGUAUCACUAAUGUAUCCCACAAUACUGCAUAGGAGGCAAGAGCUUUGUUUUAAUACCUGAGCCAUUGGCCACUAAGGAAAACAAUAACAAUGUAUUCAGUUGCCUAAUAACUUUAAAGUACUUCAACACCGUGUUUGAUGUGUUUGUGCAGAACAAUGCAAAACAACUUCUAUGCCUCAAAACAAAAUGCUUGAACAUCACUUAAUAGCUUACAAGGCAACUGAGAGAUCAGGGAGCAAAACAAAAUAGAAAUUCUAAUUAACCACAACUCUUUCUGAAGAAAGGGACAAGUCCCUGCAAAUAUUUUAAGCUAUUUUCUAUCCACAAAUAAGCUAUAAAAAUUCCAUGUACAGUGUGGGAAACAGCACAUUUGUCUGGGCUACUGAGAGCACCCUCUUACUUGCUUAUAUAUCUAGACUAUUUUAUUGGGAAGUUUUCCAGCUUGGACAAACCCCAGCUUUGUAAUAGUGAUCUACUUGAAAACCUUUUAACAAAUGCUUAAUUUUAGCAUAUGUUGGCCCGAGAUUUUUUUUGGUUCAAGGAACUUAUUUUUUUGAUUAAAUAUGUCCAUAUUUAUAUUUUACAUAAAUGUAGCUAUUCACAUGUGCCUACCUUUGGCUGCAUGGCUGCUCCCCCACCUUCACCCCAUCUUUUGCCACCCCUACACACCUCUCUCCAAACUGCUCCUGGCACUGUGGCUGCCGCUGACAUAGUAGAGGUAUAUUACCUUGGACCAUAAGAUUCCCCACGACAGUGUUCCUCCACUCCAAGCCUGCACUUCAACCAAAGCCCCUGGCUAAUGAAGCCAACCCAGGUUCCUGGUACGAUUUUAUGUACAAGAAGUCUGGACUAAGCACUGUGUCCUCCCAAACAUCUGCCUACUUCCCUGCAGUAUAGCCUUUUUCCUCUCCAGAGACCACACAACCUUCUACCUGUUCUUGUUACCUACUCCAGGUUCAUACUUCUCACUGUAUGACAGGCCAAUAAAUCAAGACACGAGUCAUUGGGCAAGGAAUAGAGACUUUAUUUGGAAAGCCAGCAGACUGAGGUGUCGGACUAGUGUCCCAAAGAACCAUCUUGCGCAGGUUUGGAUGCUAGUUUCUUUUAUAGAACAAAGAGGGGUAGGUGAGGGGGUAAAGUGAAAAAGACAAUAAGUUGUUGCAAAUAUUUCCUGGUUCCGGCCAGACUCCAGAGGGGAUGUGUUAAUUACUUCUUUCGUGAAGCCAUUUACAGGUGUGCCCAGUCAGGAUGUUUCCUGUGAGUUAAACAAAGGCAUUUUAGCUUAACGCUGAGGUAGGGGAGGCAGGGUUCCCGGGGAUGGGCCAUUAUGUGUACUUUCCCUUUAGUAAUAAACUUCUAGCAAAAGCAAUAGAAUACAAACUUCAAAGUAAAAGAAGUAGAUCCAAUAUGGAGUCAGAUUUGUUCCUCCCUAUUAUAUUCUCACAUCUAAAAUUACCUCACUCUCUUCACCUCUCUUCUCUAAGACCCCCAACAGGCUGCUGCCUAGAGCCACCUCCAAGGAAUCAAGCAAGUUGUGUGGUGAUGGUGGUAAUAUUUCCUAUUAGUGUUGCUUUCUGUGUUUCUGCUGUAGUUCAGCAUUAUUGGGCUGAGAGAGGCUUUGGUAAGCUCGUCUAGGACAGCAUCUGUCAUGGAUUGAAUUGUGUCCCUGUGAUAUUGUGAUUUAUAAUAAGAAAUAUUAUGCUUGGUGUUUGUCCCUGUUCUUGCACAAAGCUCCCCAAGCCCUUGAAAUUUCCCAAGUGAUUAGAGCAAUACAAGUAUUUUUUGUUAUUCUUAAGAAAGCCCCUUUUGGGCUUCCCUGGUGGCACAGUGGUUAAGAAUCCGCCUGCCAAUGCUGGGGACACGGGUUCAAGCCCUGGUCCGGGAAGAGCCCACAUGCCGCAGAGCAACUAAGCCCGUGCACCACAACUACUAAGCCUGCGCGCUAAAGCCCGUGAACCACAACUACUGAACCCACAUGCCACAACUACUGAAGCCCAUGCAGCUAGAGUCCAUGCUCCACAACAAGGGAAGCCGCCACAAUAAGAAGCCCGUGCACCGCAACGAAGAGUAGCGCCCACUCGCCGCAACUAAAGGAAGUCCGUGCGCAGCAACGAAGACCCAGCGCAGCCAAAAAUAAAUAAAUUUAUUUAAAAAAAAGAAAAAAAGCCCCUUUCAAUCACACCUGAGUGUAUGUUAAUGAGGGAACUCUUAGAAAGGUCCUAACGAUGGGGGCUUGUUGCCAGGAGAACCAACCUGGUGAUUAGAGGGUUGGAACUUUCAGCCCCACCCUCAUUGCAUCCCCCUACCCCCCUACCUUCUCCCACCCCCC